rnacentral:rRNA from 1 species
GUCGAACGCCCCGCAAGGGGAGUGGCAGACGGGUGAGUAACGCGUGGGAACAUACCCUUUCCUGCGGAAUAGCUCCGGGAAACUGGAAUUAAUACCGCAUACGCCCUACGGGGGAAAGAUUUAUCGGGGAAGGAUUGGCCCGCGUUGGAUUAGCUAGUUGGUGGGGUAAAGGCCUACCAAGGCGACGAUCCAUAGCUGGUCUGAGAGGAUGAUCAGCCACAUUGGGACUGAGACACGGCCCAAACUCCUACGGGAGGCAGCAGUGGGGAAUAUUGGACAAUGGGCGCAAGCCUGAUCCAGCCAUGCCGCGUGAGUGAUGAAGGCCUUAGGGUUGUAAAGCUCUUUCACCGGAGAAGAUAAUGACGGUAUCCGGAGAAGAAGCCCCGGCUAACUUCGUGCCAGCAGCCGCGGUAAUACGAAGGGGGCUAGCGUUGUUCGGAAUUACUGGGCGUAAAGCGCACGUAGGCGGAUAUUUAAGUCAGGGGUGAAAUCCCACAGCUCAACUCUGGAACUGCCUUUGAUACUGGGUAUCUUGAGUAUGGA